UCGCCUGUUUAUCAAAAACAUGUCCUUUUGUUUGUAAAUAUAAGGUCUAGCCUGCCCAAUGAUUAAUUUAAUGGCCGCGGUAUAUUAACUGUGCKAAGGUAGCAUAAUCAUUUGUCUUUUAAUUGAAGGCUAGAAUGAAUGGCUGGACGAAACAUAAACUUUCUUUAAUUUAAUAUUAGAAUUUAAUUUUUUAGUUAAAAAGCUAAAAUUUAUUUGAGGGACGAGAAGACCCUAUAGAUCUUUAUAUAUUUAUUAUAUUAUAUAUUUUAGUAUAUUUAUUACUUAUAAUAAGUGAAUGUAUUUGGUUGGGGCGACUGUAGAAUAUUCAUAACUUCUAUUUAUAUAAAUUCAUUAAUUAUUGUUUAAUUGAUCCAAUUUUAUUGAUUAAAAGAUUAAGUUACCUUAGGGAUAACAGCGUAAUUUUUUCGGAGAGUUCUUAUCGAUGAUAAAGCUUGC
rnacentral:rRNA from 1 species